rnacentral:rRNA from 1 species
GAUGAACGCUGACAGAAUGCUUAACACAUGCAAGUCAACUUGAAUUUGGGUUUUUUAACUUAGAUUUGGGUGGCGGACGGGUGAGUAACGCGUAAAGAACUUGCCUCACAGCUAGGGACAACAUUUGGAAACGAAUGCUAAUACCUGAUAUUAUGAUUAUAAGGCAUCUUAGAAUUAUGAAAGCUAUAUGCGCUGUGAGAGAGCUUUGCGUCCCAUUAGCUAGUUGGAGAGGUAACGGCUCACCAAGGCGAUGAUGGGUAGCCGGCCUGAGAGGGUGAACGGCCACAAGGGGACUGAGACACGGCCCUUACUCCUACGGGAGGCAGCAGUGGGGAAUAUUGGACAAUGGACCAAGAGUCUGAUCCAGCAAUUCUGUGUGCACGAUGACGUUUUUCGGAAUGUAAAGUGCUUUCAGUUGGGAAGAAAAAAAUGACGGUACAAACAGAAGAAGUGACGGCUAAAUACGUG